CCAACCGGGAUUCCCUGAGUAAGGGCGACUGAAAGGGGAUCAGCCCAGCGCAUAACCUCCCGGUCGCAUGUUGGCCGCGGAGGGGUGUUGCGUUUCGGUGGAUCCGUACCGCUCGAGUUGCUGACCGCCUAAGUCAUUGCUUGAAUGCAGCCCCGAGGAGGGUGGUAGGCCCGUGUGGCGGCGCCUGUAAAAAGGUUUGAGGCAACUUGGGCGGAGGGGUCUUUACCGUAGAGUCGGGUUGCUUAGUACUGCAGCCCUAAGUAGGUGGUAAACUCCAUCUAAGGCUAAAUACUACCACGAGUCCGAUAUUUGACAAGUACCGUGAGGGAAAGCUGAAAAGGACUCUGAAGAGAGAGUUCAAAAGGACGUGAAACCAUUAGAAGCUGAAACGGGUGGAACUGUGAAGGUGGAAAGAGGGCAUUCAGGCCUUAGGGUGGCCAGCCCUGGCAAGGUUGGCUAGAGAGGGAGGACCCGGCGUUACAGUUAAUUGCCGCGGCCCCUUGCUGGGUUAGCUGGUGAGCUUGAGGCUUUAUUUGUCCCUCGAGUACUGGUUGUGGCGACCCGCUUUUUGGAGCCCGAAGUCCUCUCCGGACUGGUAUGCUGCACCUUUGGUGUAGUUGAUGACCGGAUGGGGUACUGUUUGGUUAAGAAAGGCGGUCACUGCAAGGAGGUUACGCAAGUAGCCUCUCGCCAUGUGAGAGUGAUCGG
rnacentral:rRNA from 1 species